UAUGAAGUAGUUUCUAGAUUGGAUUGAGGAGCUGAGGCCAACCUUCAGUGUAAGCUGGAGUUCCAAGCUGAAUAAUCAGGAGCCAGCAAGCUGAGAAUCAACAUUCAUUGCUGUUCUUCCUGGUUGUGGAUGCUGUUACAGACUAUGGGAUUAUUCUACACAGAAAACCUAAUUCUUAGCAAACUACAAAAGUAUAAAUAGAUAUUGUGCUUGUCAGAUGUAGUUAGGCGUGUCCUGAAGAGAUACAGUUUGGGUGUGCCUCUAAAAGACUCCAAAGAUAAGAAUGCUAAAGGAUGGAAAGGUCCCUCCUAGUUUAAGUUACUCUGGUCACAUAAACCAACACCAGUCGCUCCAAGAAGAAAAGUAAUUAACAAAAAGGAAAAAGAGUAUCUUUUCUUGUCUGAAUGAGAAAUGCCCCAGGCAUCAAGAUUCUGAACUCAGUGGUGCCUGGACUACCCUAGCCCAUCCUCACACAGUGGCUAAGCAGAAAACAAAAUGGCAAUAACAACAGUGUCAAAUAAUAAUAGUGCUGAUCUUCUAACUUAAGUGAGGAUUAACCACUCAUGAAGCUUCCAAGAAGUGCCUGAGCUUGUACUGCACGCCCAUGACAAAUGUUUGCGUAUUAAAUAAGUGACCUAGUUAAG